GCAGUGACUUCUCUUUCAUGCGCGUGUGUAUGUGUCCUUCUCUUGUCAAGGCCUGUUUUUGAUCUCUCUGGAUUGAUUGUAGUCUAGCAGUGUCUGAUCAAGGAGCAUCCUUUUUCUUUUUUCAUAUUUCAUAUAUUUGUAGAUGUCCAGAUGAAAAACAGGUCCUGUGAUGUUAUUGCCCGCCCCAAAAAAAGGGCACUGACAUUGCCCAAAAAAGGGCAACAUAGAUAGUUCGGCGCGUUCAAACGUGAAAGUAUCGCUGGCGAAAACAAAUAACAUUCAUCAUAAAUCUGAAAAGCAGAAGGACCGACUAAAGUCCGGGACUGGAAGUCGUCACGCACAUAAGUAAGAAACCAAAAAAUGAGCAAUGCUCAAUGGAACCUUUUCAGAACGACUUUGUGAUCAGCCAUCAAGCAGGCGAUCGUUUGUACGCGUCCUGCGAUUGAUUGGUGACCGCUCUGCCGUUUGUCUGCGUGUGGCCUGCAGGUUGCGAGUUGGUCUGGGUCUUAUAAUUGACUUCCAGGCGAGAGAGGGAGGGGGCAUGAGUGCGAAGCGGUCGUAAAAAAGGCCAAAAUUCAGAAGACUCAUGGCAUUCUCGGCCUGCUUUGACCACAUGCAAGCGUGGAAGAAUAAGUCACAAAUCGACGUUUCGACGGAUGGAGUCGCUCUCGAGGAGAAGAAAGUUGAUUGCUAUUUGCGCAAGUCACAAACGUGUCACGAAGAACAGGUUGACCAAGGCUUUCUGUCAGCUUCUUCAGAACCAAAGUGAAUCAUGUUUUGGAUUCCAGAAAUGCAGGCUCAGACAAAGUGCAAAAACAAAAAUAUUUAUUGCAGAAAAGUACAGGCUCAAAUCGCUGGCCACAAGGAGCCAGGAAAAGCAAAGAAACA